rnacentral:rRNA from 1 species
UACGUAGGGUGCAAGCGUUGUCCGGAAUUACUGGGCGUAAAGGGCUCGUAGGCGGCCAACUAAGUCAGACGUGAAAUCCCUCGGCUUAACCGGGGAACUGCGUCUGAUACUGGAUGGCUAGAGGUUGGGAGAGGGAUGCGGAAUUCCAGGUGUAGCGGUGAAAUGCGUAGAUAUCAGGAGGAACACCGGUGGCGAAGGCGGCUCUCUGGACCGAGACUGACGCUGAGGCGCGAAAGCGUGGGGAGCAAACAGG